GACGAACGCUGGCGGCGUGCUUAACACAUGCAAGUCGAACGGAAAGGCCCUGCUUUUGUGGGGUGCUCGAGUGGCGAACGGGUGAGUAACACGUGAGUAACCUGCCCUUGACUUUGGGAUAACUUCAGGAAACUGGGGCUAAUACCGGAUAGGAGCUCCUGCUGCAUGGUGGGGGUUGGAAAGUUUCGGCGGUUGGGGAUGGACUCGCGGCUUAUCAGCUUGGUGGUGGGGUAGUGGCUUACCAAGGCUUUGACGGGUAGCCGGCCUGAGAGGGUGACCGGCCACAUUACGACUGAGCUACGGCCCAGACUCCUACGGGAGGCAGCGGUGGGGAGGAUUACACAGUGGGCGGGAGCCUGAUGCAACAACGCCGCGUGCGGGAUGAGGGCCUGCGGGUUGUAAACCACUUUCGCCUGAGACGAGGCGUUAGUGACGGUAACGGGUAAAGAAGCACCGGCUAACUACGUG
rnacentral:rRNA from 1 species